CCCUCUUUUUCGCGCUUUCCUCGGAAUUACUGGGCGUAAAGCGCACGUAGGUGGCGAUGUAAGUCGGGUGUGAAAGCCCCGGGCUCAACCUGGGAAUUGCAUUCGAGACUGCAUUGCUGGAGUACGGAAGAGGAGGGCGGAAUUCCCGGUGUAGCGGUGAAAUGCGUAGAUAUCGGGAGGAACAUCAGUGGCGAAGGCGGCCCUCUGGUCCAGUACUGACACUCAAGUGCGAAAGCGUGGGGAGCAAACAGGA
rnacentral:rRNA from 1 species